GUACUUGCUUCAGCGGCACAUAUACUGAAAUUGGAGUAUUACAGAGAAGAGUAGCAGGGUCCCUGUGCAAGGAUGACAUGCAAAUUUGUGAAGCAUUCCAAAAGAGU
rnacentral:snRNA from 1 species